UCCUCGGUAGUAUAGUGGUCAGUAUCGCCUGUCACGCGCGGGGAGACCGGGGUUCGAUUCCCCGCCGGGGAG